UUCUUGUGAUUUAUAGUUACUUGAUUAAUGCUCAAUAAUUCAAAAACGUCAACCUUAACUCAUACUCAAUCUUCAUUCUUUCCCACAACUCUGACUAACAUAGGUCAGUACUCAAAAUUGAUUUAUAUAUAGUAAAUAAAAAAUGUAAGUAGAGAAUACAACGAUCUACCUAAUCUAGAAUGGUUUUAACUAAGAUUUAAAUAAAAAAAUAUAUCUCUUCGUCAACUUCCUUCUUACUAAACUUUGUCAUCCCUAAUAAAAGAAUGAUUUUUUUAAGCGGGUAAUCGGUUCGGUUUCGGUUCGACAGCAUAAAUACCAUACCCGCACCGCCACAAACCGGUUCAUUAAAAUCAAAUACCAUAUCCGCCCCAUUGCACAAUCAGUACAGUUUUUUCGCUCCACUCGGUUCGGUUAAUCGCGAUUUUCGAUUUUAACGAUUCAAGUUUCCAUCUCUAUAGAAUACAGGCUCAAAGACAGGGCUAGCGUGGCAUUUGAAAAUAAAAUAUAUAUAAAAACCACAUUUUAAAGUGGAAAAAGCCAAACAUCAACUUUAUUCUAAAAAUUAUGCUGUCAAAUCAACUGUAUGAAAUAUUAAAUUUUCUGAUUUAAUAUAAAAAAAUAAGUUUAUAUCCACUCACAGAUCUAUAGAUAGAAAUCUGGCUAAAUUGACGAGUCUUUCUUACUUUUCAAGCUUACAUGUCACUACCUGAAAUAACGAUAUAAUUAAUCAAAUUAAAACCUGACAAUUAAAUUAAUACAAAUCCAUAACUUAACUUCUCAACUUCUAUAUGUAUUAUUCUUACAUCUCCAAUUUUCCAACUUUUCGUCUCUUUAAUGAUUUAUCAACUAAUCACAAUUCAUUAUCAAAUCCAUUAAAUCCCUCGCACUUCCUUAAAAUCACUACCUUAUUCAUAUGCAACCCUUACAACGAAUUUAGUCCAAUACAUAAACUUCAAUAUUUGUCAUGUAACUUAAUUCGAACCUUUAAAAAUCUGAAAACAAGAGCUUUGACGAAAAAAGAACUAAAAUCUGAUACCAAUUUCUAUAUUAAAAUUUGGUAUCAAAACCUUUGACAGAAAUAGCGUUAUUCUGGGCAGAUUUUCAGAAACAGCACCUGAGUAAGAUUUUGUCGAAAAAUAACUUAUAUUAAUUACUUAAAGAUGGAGAAAUCAACCCCAAAGCCUUAAUUUAAAUGCUCGACAUCAUAUAAUCACAAAAAGAUCACAGAAUUAAUAUCCAUUUCAUAAACCCAUUUACAAAGUUCCACUUUCUUCAACUUCAAAAUUCAAAAAACACGUUUCUUUGCUAUAUUUCUAAUUAUAACACCAAAUACAUAUUAAUAAUACCUAAUUCUAGCUAAGUUUUGAAUUGAAACAAAUUUUUCAUAAACCCUAAGAAAAUUUUAUUCAAUAUACUUGUUCUUACCUCUCUAAAUUAAAUGAGAAAUUGAAGAAAUAGAGCUUGGAAAUCCACUUCCUCUUCUUCUUUCCUCCUCUUCCUUCCUUUCUUCUCUUCUCUUCUCUCGGUCUUUCUCGACGUUUCGCC
rnacentral:lncRNA from 1 species